GGGCGUAAGAGCUCGUAGGCGGUUUGUCGCGUCUAUCGUGAAAGUCCGAGGCUCNNNNUNNGAUCUGCGGUGGGUACGGGCAGACUAGAGUGAUGUAGGGGAGACUGGAAUUCCUGGUGUAGCGGUGAAAUGCGCAGAUAUCAGGAGGAACACCGAUGGCGAAGGCAGGUCUCUGGGCAUUAACUGACGCUGAGGAGCGAAAGCAUGGGGAGCGAACAGGAUUAGAUACCCUGGUAGUCCAUGCCGUAAACGUUGGGCACUAGGUGUGGGGGACAUUCCACGUUUUCCGCGCCGUAGCUAACGCAUUAAGUGCCCCGCCUGGGGAGUACGGCCGCAAGGCUAAAACUCAAAGGAAUUGACGGGGGCCCGCACAAGCGGCGGAGCAUGCGGAUUAAUUCGAUGCAACGCGAAGAACCUUACCAAGGCUUGACAUGUGCUAGAUCGCCAUAGAAAUAUGGUUUCCCCUUUGGGGCUGGUUCACAGGUGGUGCAUGGUUGUCGUCAGCUCGUGUCGUGAGAUGUUGGGUUAAGUCCCGCAACGAGCGCAACCCUCGUUCCAUGUUGCCAGCACGUAGUGGUGGGGACUCAUGGGAGACUGCCGGGGUCAACUCGGAGGAAGGUGGGGACGACGUCAAAUCAUCAUGCCCCUUAUGUCUUGGGCUUCACGCAUGCUACAAUGGCCGGUACAAUGGGUUGCGAUACUGUGAGGUGGAGCUAAUCCCAAAAAGCCGGUCUCAGUUCGGAUUGGGGUCUGCAACUCGACCCCAUGAAGUCGGAGUCGCUAGUAAUCGCAGAUCAGCAACGCUGCGGUGAAUACGUUCCCGGGCCUUGUACACACCGCCCGUCAAGUCACGAAAGUUGGUAACACCCGAAG
rnacentral:rRNA from 1 species